rnacentral:rRNA from 1 species
GACGAACGCUGGCGGCGUGCUUAACACAUGCAAGUCGAACGAUGAAGCCGGAGCUUGCUCUGGUGAAUUAGUGGCGAACGGGUGAGUAACACGUGAGUAACCUGCCCUUGACUCUGGGAUAACUGCGGGGAACUGUAGCUAAUACCGGAUACGACCCUCGGCGGCAUCGCCAGGGGGUGGAAAGAAUUUCGGUCAAGGAUGGACUCGCGGCCUAUCAGCUAGUUGGUGAGGUAACGGCUCACCAAGGCGACGACGGGUAGCCGGCCCGAGAGGGUGACCGGCCACACUGGGACUGAGACACGGCCCAGACUCCUACGGGAGGCAGCAGUGGGGAAUAUUGCACAAUGGGCGCAAGCCUGAUGCAGCAACGCCGCGUGAGGGAUGACGGCCUUCGGGUUGUAAACCUCUUUUAGUAGGGAAGAAGCGAAAGUGACGGUACCUGCAGAAAAAGCACCGGCUAACUACGUGCCAGCCGCCGCGGUAA